rnacentral:lncRNA from 1 species
UGCUGGGGCAGAAGCAGGGCACUAGAAACCUAUUGCGACUGUCUACCCGACCUGGCUCCCCCCUCAUAUUGUCAGGAAAUGAGCCUGAAUCGCAGGCACAUGCUGCUCACCACAUCCUCAGUACCAGAUGGAGCCUGGAAGUCACCUGGCCCAACUGCUGUCAGUGCAGGUAUGCACGUGUGUCUAUGCGUGGAGAUAAGAUGUGAGUGGAUUCACACAUUGUUGGAUAUGUGUGUAUGUGUGUACAAAUGGGACUAUAACUCUUGUGUAUGUUUGUGAGCAGCUGUGUGAAUUUGUGUCUAUGCACAUGGGCAAGGGACUGUGGGUUGGCACACUCAGGUAGAUCAGAUAAAGGCAAAGACAUGGAUGUGCACGUGAGCCUGAGUUGGCAUAUUGGCAGACUUACAACACAUGCAUGCCCAGGCUAACAGCUGACACGCCAAUUCUCGCUUAUCAAUAGCUGGAGAAGCUGCCAUAAAUCCACCAGAAGAAGAGCUGUCAGAAGCUGACUUUAAGAUGACACUAUGUGGUACUGCACUGCAGGUACCAUGGCAAGGAGGUCCCAGGAGACAGGGAGCUCACCACCCUUCAGGGGUGACGGGCAUUUGGAAGACAGUGUGACUGGUGUGCCUGAGGCUGCCCAGGCUCUGUAAGUGAGGGUCAGGUCCCAUGUCUCAUGGCAGAUGAGUCCUACUGAGCCUUGACAAGCCAAGACCUUCCAUACUGCAAGGUCAAGAUCAGGGUCCAUGGUGAGAACCACCAUAAAGAGCUGCUGUUUUCCCAGGUCCUUAGGUGAUUUGAGGACAGGGUUGUAUCUAGGGUGACCGCCAAAUACCAGGUUACCUUAGGCUUUGCUGGUUUUAGCAUUGAAAGUCCUGCAUCCCUGGAAACCCCUCAGUCCCAGGCAAAUUUGGGCAGCUGGUUACACUAGCAGAUCUGAACCUAAAACAGCUGAAGGAAGCAGCAGGAGUUGGAGUGGGGGGUGUGGAGGGUCUUUCUCAGACCCUUCUACAUCAGAAUAGAAGUCAGAUGUAAUGGUGCUGCCUGUAUUCUCAGCUGCUCAGGAGGCUGAGGCAGGAGAGUCUUUUGAUCCCUAGAGUUCAGGGCCAGCCUGGGCAACAUAAUAACACCCUAUCUCUAAAAAGAAAGAAGAAGAAAAUACAAAGUAAAAUACAAAACUGGGGCUCUGGAAGGAAUGUGUGAUGUGUGAGUGAGAGGCCUAGAAGCUGAAGCUUCAGUAGAUUCAAGAUCAUCUUCUUCUGCCAUGAAAAGGGUUUGAACCAGGCGGGCACAGUGGCUCAUGCCUGUAAUCCCAGCACUUUGGGAGGCCAAGAUGGGUGGAUCACCUGAGGUCAGGAGUUCAAGACUAGCCUGGCCAACAUGGUGAAACCCCGUCUCUACCAAAAAAAAAAAAAAGAAAAAAAAUUUGCUGGGCAUGGUGGCGUGCACCUGUAAUGCCAAUAUUUGAAAGGCUGAGGCAGGAGAAUCACUUGAACCUAGGAGACAGAGGUUGCAGUGAGCUGAGAUCCGCCAUUGCACUCCAGCCUGGGUGACCGAGUGAGACUCCAGCUCAAAAAAAAAAAGAGUUUGAACCUUCUUUGGAGCCAACCCAAACUGUAUGUGAAUCCAAGCUCUGCACCUCAGAGAGAAUAAGUCACUUGCUUGGUCGUACACAGCCAAUGAGGAAAUCUCCCUCCUCUGCAAAGCAGAGAAAAUCACAUUGGGAGAGCAGUGCAGGUCAAAUAAGAUAAUAUGGGCAAAUAUACAUAAGCACACAUACAGCACAUGGCAUGUAGGCUACUCCUUCCCCUUCCCUCUCCAGUGCAUGGCUGUUGACUGAGGGAACUGAGGAGAGAGAAAUCAACGGCCCUAGAUUGGUGAGGAGCAGGGCUAACAGGACCCAGGGAGAGCUGGCUUUUCUCGGCCCACCAAGACAUCUACUCCAGGAAACCUUGGCUCUGCCUCUGGCUCCUGGGAAAUCCACGGCAAGACUCAGUCUCCACAUCCCUAUAUGGGACUUGCAGAAUACUUGCCUUAGCUUUGUCCCAGCACUUUGGGAGGCAGAUUCAGAACAUCUGUGCAAUUUAAAGUGUGUCUUUUCAGCAAAAGAGCCAAGCCUAAGGAGACUCAACAAGGGUUUCGGCCAAUUAGGCCUGAAAACUGCUGCACAUUCUAAAACCAUUGAUUCAUCUUCCUUCUUCUCUGCAAAUCCCUGACCCUUGCUCACAGUAGAUCAUGUAGGGCUAGACCAAGGGAUGGGGGGUGCUCUGUUCCCUCAAAGGCCCCUG